CAAAAAAGCAAUCACUGUCAGGUUGUAAGGGUGGAUAAAUUCAAGGUGACUUUGGGUCAUUCUGCUGUUUCGAGCCUGUGGAGUUAGGGGUGCCAAGGAGGAAAGAAGAUAAUCCCCUGGCUUCUGAGAGCUCACGUAUCACCUGGCAGAUUAAAUAUGAGAAUUGUAUUACCUGAAUGGAGAAAGAAGGUACCCUCAUUGCUGCUGUGAUGUUGAGGGAAAAAUCAAGGACAUAAGACUGAGAGAUACAAUGUGGCCUACUUCAAACAGCAGCUCUACUGAGUACUUCAUUACCUGUUCUGUUGUGGUUCAACUAAGGAUUGGAAUAAUAGCUGAAACACAUAGCCUAGAAGCAACACAACCUAAAGUCAGAAAAAGCAAGAGAGUUCCAGAAAAACAUCUAUUUCUGCUUUAUUGACUAUGCCAAAGCCUUUGACUGUGUG